UACGUAGGGAGCAAGCGUUGUCCGGAAUCAUUGGGCGUAAAGCGCGCGUAGGUGGCCCAGUAAGUCUGCUCUGAAAGUCACAGGCUCAACCUGUGAAAGCGGGUGGAUACUGCUGGGCUAGAGUCCGGAAGAGGCGAGUGGAAUUCCUGGUGUAGCGGUGGAAUGCGCAGAUAUCAGGAGGAACACCGAUGGCGAAGGCAGGUCACUGGGCCGCAACUGACGCUGAGGAGCGAAAGCAUGGGGAGCGAACAGG
rnacentral:rRNA from 1 species